rnacentral:rRNA from 1 species
UACGUAGGGUGCAAGCGUUAAUCGGAAUUACUGGGCGUAAAGCGUGCGCAGGCGGUUUUGUAAGUCUGUCGUGAAAUCCCCGGGCUCAACCUGGGAAUUGCGAUGGAGACUGCAAGGCUAGAAUCUGGCAGAGGGGGGUAGAAUUCCACGUGUAGCAGUGAAAUGCGUAGAGAUGUGGAGGAACACCGAUGACGAAGGCAGCCCCCUGGGAUCAAGAU